rnacentral:tRNA from 1 species
GGGGCAGUAGCUCAGCGGGAGAGCACCUGAUUUGCACUCAGGAGGCCACGGGUUCAAAUCCCGUCUGCUCCACCA